UUAAGCGACUAAGCGUACACGGUGGAUGCCCUGGCAGUCAGAGGCGAUGAAGGACGUGCUAAUCUGCGAAAAGCGCCGGCGAGGUGAUAUGAACCUUUGACCCGGCGAUGUCCGAAUGGGGAAACCCAGUGCAAUUCGUUGCACUAUCGUUAACUGAAUACAUAGGUUAACGAGGCGAACCGGGGGAACUGAAACAUCUAAGUACCCCGAGGAAAAGAAAUCAACCGAGAUUCCCCCAGUAGCGGCGAGCGAACGGGGAGCAGCCCAGAGUCUGAAUCAGCUUGUGUGUUAGUGGAAGCGUCUGGAAAGUCGCACGGUACAGGGUGACAGUCCCGUACACGAAAAUGCACAGGUUGUGAACUCGAAGAGUAGGGCGGGACACGUGGUAUCCUGUCUGAAUAUGGGGGGACCAUCCUCCAAGGCUAAAUACUCCUGACUGACCGAUAGUGAACCAGUACCGUGAGGGAAAGGCGAAAAGAACCCCGGCGAGGGGAGUGAAAAAGAACCUGAAACCGUGUACGUACAAGCAGUGGGAGCACCUUCGGGUGUGACUGCGUACCUUUUGUAUAAUGGGUCAGCGACUUAUAUUCUGUAGCAAGGUUAACCGUAUAGGGGAGCCGAAGGGAAACCGAGUCUUAACUGGGCGUUAAGUUGCAGGGUAUAGACCCGAAACCCGGUGAUCUAGCCAUGGGCAGGUUGAAGGUUGGGUAACACUAACUGGAGGACCGAACCGACUAAUGUUGAAAAAUUAGCGGAUGACUUGUGGCUGGGGGUGAAAGGCCAAUCAAACCGGGAGAUAGCUGGUUCUCCCCGAAAGCUAUUUAGGUAGCGCCUCGUGAACUCAUCUUCGGGGGUAGAGCACUGUUUCGGCUAGGGGGCCAUCCCGGCUUACCAACCCGAUGCAAACUACGAAUACCGAAGAAUGUUAUCACGGGAGACACACGGCGGGUGCUAACGUCCGUCGUGAAGAGGGAAACAACCCAGACCGCCAGCUAAGGUCCCAAAGUCAUGGUUAAGUGGGAAACGAUGUGGGAAGGCACAGACAGCCAGGAUGUUGGCUUAGAAGCAGCCAUCAUUUAAAGAAAGCGUAAUAGCUCACUGGUCGAGUCGGCCUGCGCGGAAGAUGUAACGGGGCUAAACCAUGCACCGAAGCUGCGGCAGCGACACUAUGUGUUGUUGGGUAGGGGAGCGUUCUGUAAGCCGUUGAAGGUGUGCUGUGAGGCAUGCUGGAGGUAUCAGAAGUGCGAAUGCUGACAUAAGUAACGAUAAAGCGGGUGAAAAGCCCGCUCGCCGGAAGACCAAGGGUUCCUGUCCAACGUUAAUCGGGGCAGGGUGAGUCGACCCCUAAGGCGAGGCCGAAAGGCGUAGUCGAUGGGAAACAGGUUAAUAUUCCUGUACUUGGUGUUACUGCGAAGGGGGGACGGAGAAGGCUAUGUUAGCCGGGCGACGGUUGUCCCGGUUUAAGCAUGUAGGCGGAGGGUCUAGGUAAAUCCGGUCGUUUAUUAACGCUGAGGUGUGAUGACGAGGCACUACGGUGCUGAAGUAACAAAUGCCCUGCUUCCAGGAAAAGCCUCUAAGCAUCAGGUAACAUCAAAUCGUACCCCAAACCGACACAGGUGGUCAGGUAGAGAAUACCAAGGCGCUUGAGAGAACUCGGGUGAAGGAACUAGGCAAAAUGGUGCCGUAACUUCGGGAGAAGGCACGCUGAUAUGUAGGUGAAGCCCCUGCGGGUGGAGCUGAAAUCAGUCGAAGAUACCAGCUGGCUGCAACUGUUUAUUAAAAACACAGCACUGUGCAAACACGAAAGUGGACGUAUACGGUGUGACGCCUGCCCGGUGCCGGAAGGUUAAUUGAUGGGGUUAGCGGCAACGCGAAGCUCUUGAUCGAAGCCCCGGUAAACGGCGGCCGUAACUAUAACGGUCCUAAGGUAGCGAAAUUCCUUGUCGGGUAAGUUCCGACCUGCACGAAUGGCGUAAUGAUGGCCAGGCUGUCUCCACCCGAGACUCAGUGAAAUUGAACUCGCUGUGAAGAUGCAGUGUACCCGCGGCAAGACGGAAAGACCCCGUGAACCUUUACUAUAGCUUGACACUGAACACUGGUCCUUGAUGUGUAGGAUAGGUGGGAGGCUUUGAAGUGUGGACGCCAGUCUGCGUGGAGCCGUCCUUGAAAUACCACCCUUUAAUGGCUGGUGUUCUAACGUAGACCCGUGAUCCGGGUUGCGGACAGUGUCUGGUGGGUAGUUUGACUGGGGCGGUCUCCUCCCAAAGAGUAACGGAGGAGCACGAAGGUUAGCUAAUCCUGGUCGGACAUCAGGAGGUUAGUGCAAUGGCAUAAGCUAGCUUGACUGCGAGAGUGACGGCUCGAGCAGGUGCGAAAGCAGGUCAUAGUGAUCCGGUGGUUCUGAAUGGAAGGGCCAUCGCUCAACGGAUAAAAGGUACUCCGGGGAUAACAGGCUGAUACCGCCCAAGAGUUCAUAUCGACGGCGGUGUUUGGCACCUCGAUGUCGGCUCAUCACAUCCUGGGGCUGAAGUAGGUCCCAAGGGUAUGGCUGUUCGCCAUUUAAAGUGGUACGCGAGCUGGGUUUAGAACGUCGUGAGACAGUUCGGUCCCUAUCUGCCGUGGGCGCUGGAGAAUUGAGGGGGGCUGCUCCUAGUACGAGAGGACCGGAGUGGACGCAUCACUGGUGUUCGGGUUGUCAUGCCAAUGGCACUGCCCGGUAGCUAAAUGCGGAAAAGAUAAGUGCUGAAAGCAUCUAAGCACGAAACUUGCCCCGAGAUGAGUUCUCCCUGAGACUUUAAGUCUCCUGAAGGAACGUUGAAGACGACGACGUUGAUAGGUCGGGUGUGUAAGCGCAGCGAUGCGUUGAGCUAACCGAUACUAAUGAACCGUGAGGCUUAACCUU
rnacentral:rRNA from 1 species